GGGCCCGUAGUCUAGCUUGGUAGGAUGCGGGGUACAAUCCCCGUGAUCCCGGGUUCGAAUCCCGGCGGGCCCA
rnacentral:tRNA from 1 species